ACAGAGAGGGAAAGAGGCUGCGUUAUUAUUGCUUUACCUUGUAAUAUGUAUUGUGAAUCCUGUUGGAAAUACGGUUCAUUUCUGGCACUUAUAUUGGAGGAUAUGUCAGCUUCAGAUGGAACUGAAAAAAGAGGGAGACAGAUAACGGAGAGAGAGAUGUCAUGGAUGCUGGUGUGUCUGCAGCUGCAGGAGGUCAGAGCCUCAGAGAGCUCCAGGUCCAGAGAGCUGACACUCAGCCGACAGGUAUAUGCUCUGUGUCAGGGGGUGUGGGUGGUGUGGUUGCUCCCAGCAGUACAGAAAAAUGAUGGGGGUUAUAGUGAAUGCUAAAUGCUCAUGGUGACUUUUCCACUCACUGAGGAAUCUCCACCUACACUGAGGUGUGUGGGGGUUUUCUGCUGUCUUUGACAAGAAUCCCUCCCACAGUUGUGUCUGCAGAGCCUCAUUCAGCUCAAAAUGUCUGACGGCUUUGAGAGCGGACCUGCUGUUGUUGAACCUAGAGCAGACCGUGUCGUACAUUUUUACUAAGUACUUUUACUUGAGUACAAUUUUCCAGUAUUCUUUCCAUCCCUGCCCAAAGCAGCAGUAACUGUCUUUUUAUUUUCUGCCCCCAGUUCCUUUGCAUUAUAAAUGUACUGUUACUUUUCCUUCAAGGGAAAGUGAAGUGAAUCUUCACAUGACUCUAAAACCACCCAGCUCUGCUUCUCCUCAUCAGAUGCAACAUCACAACUGCAGAGACGUCACAGUGCUGUCAAUCAGAGGCUACAGUUUAUUCUUUUUGAAUAAUCUUAAUGAAAUUAAUGUCAACUGGCAUGCACCACUUCCUUCCCUAUUCACAGUCCAACCCCCCAGUGUUGUGUUCCACUCCAAGCACCAAGCUAAAUAAGAAAUAAACUGGAUUAUAACUAUAAAA